GACGAACCGUGCGAACGUUGUUCGGAAUCACUGGGCUUAAAGGGUGCGCAGGCGGUCGGGUGUGUCAGAUGUGAAAUCCCGAGGCUCAACCUCGGAACUGCGUCUGAAACUACUCGACUAGAGUACUGGAGAGGGUAACGGAAUUCACGGUGUAGCAGUGAAAUGCGUAGAUAUCGUGAGGAACACCAGAGGCGAAGGCGGUUACCUGGACAGUUACUGACGCUCAGGCACGAAAGCAUGGGGAGCAAAAGGG
rnacentral:rRNA from 1 species